ACCAUAUCACGUUGAAAUACCGGUUCUCGUACGAUCACCGAAGUUAAGCAACGUCGAGCCUGGUCAUUACCUAGAUGGGUGCGCGUCUGCAAAUACCAGGUGCU